rnacentral:rRNA from 1 species
UACAGAGGUGGCAAGCGUUGUUCGGAAUUACUGGGCGUAAAGGGCGCGUAGGCGGUUCUGUAAGUCCCGCGUGAAAUCCCCCCGGCUCAACUGGGGAACUGCGCGGGAAACUGUGGGGCUAGAGUUCAGGAGAGGGAAGCGGAAUUCCGGGUGUAGCGGUGAAAUGCGUAGAUAUCGGAAGGAACAUCAGUGGCGAAAGCGACUUCCUGGACCAAUACUGACGCUCAUGUGCGAAAGCGUGGGGAGCAAACAGG